CUCUUAUAAAGAGCAGGUGGAGGGACGAGCCCGAUGAAACCCGGCAACCUGUUUCAGCGAUUUACCGCUGAUUCAAGGUGCUAAUUCUCACAGCGACAGCUGAAGGAUAAGAG
rnacentral:ncRNA from 1 species